rnacentral:rRNA from 1 species
GAUGAACGCUGGCGGCGUGCCUAUACAUGCAAGUCGAGCGAACAGACGAGGAGCUCGCUCCUCUGAUGUUAGCGGCGGACGGGUGAGUAACACGUGGAUAACCUACCUAUAAGACUGGGAUAACUUCGGGAAACCGGAGCUAAUACCGGAUAACAUGUUGAACCGCAUGGUUCAACAGUGAAAGACGGUCUUGCUGUCACUUAUAGAUGGAUCCGCGCCGCAUUAGCUAGUUGGUAAGGUAACGGCUUACCAAGGCAACGAUGCGUAGCCGACCUGAGAGGGUGAUCGGCCACACUGGAACUGAGACACGGUCCAGACUCCUACGGGAGGCAGCAGUAGGGAAUCUUCCGCAAUGGGCGAAAGCCUGACGGAGCAACGCCGCGUGAGUGAAGAAGGUCUUCGGAUCGUAAAACUCUGUUAUUAGGGAAGAACAAAUGUGUAAGUAACUAUGCACGUCUUGACGGUACCUAAUCAGAAAGCCACGGCUAACCACGUGCCAGCCGCCGCAGUAA